AGAUGUGCGACGUCCCUGCCAGCCCCGGGCAGAAGGCCCGAGCCAGCCACGGGGACAGCCCCGAAGGCAGCCCAGGGGGUAAUUAACUCAAACCUAACGAUUCCUCGUCACAGCUCUCUCCUUAGAGGCCUCCCACCGCCGGUCAGGAUCCAUUUUCACGCCUCCUUCCCUCACCUGGGCGAGAGCGCACCAACGACCACGGACGGACGUACCCAGACUGUGUUUUUUGGAAGGGCGCAGGCAAGAGCAGGAAUUUGGGAAUUCGUCCCCACGGCACAGAGCUGUGCUUUUCCUACAAGUCAGCCACACGGCCGUGCCCGGCAGCAGCCGUCCUUCCCCAUACCAGAAAAAAAAACCAAGGGGAGAAGCAGAAAAACCCAAGGGGAGGACGCUCUCCUGGCCAGACGCCAGCACCAGCUGCUGUUUCUCCUCAAACACCCAUUUCUCCAGCGUCUACCGCAGUCGGAGCCGGCUUUCCUGGCCCGAUUUCGGAUCCGCAGGCUCUGCUCUCGCCCGGCACCUGCCGGGAAGCAGGCUGCCUCUCGGUGGCGUGUGAAAGAAAGGCAGGAAAUCCGCCUCCCAACGCAGGAGCUGCUCUCCUCGGGGCCUGCGAGCCUGUUCCUUGGAGCGGCUCUGCGGCAUUUUCAGCUGCCAGACCCGGGGGAAAGCUUCGAAGUAAAAAUAAAACAACAAAAACGCCGUGGAAUUGUGUGUGAAAAGGAGCGGGGGUGCGAACGAGGCGCAGCACGGCGGGCACACAACCUGGCCUCCCCAGCACGACAGCCUGCGAAAGCAGGUGCAAAGCAUCUCCGAGGCAAUUUUCUUCCAAAAAAGCAAAAUUCUUCACCUUUUAGCCCGAUGAAGGUUCUCCUCCCUCAGCACAGGCGCUGCACGAAGCAGCCCGCAGGGACAUUUGCAUCCGCACGGUUCACGUGUGGCUUUCUGUCUCCACACCAAACAUUUUCUCCAGCGGGCAGACCUCUGGAUCCGGUCCAUGAGGCAAGCGGGGAGCUCCCAGCCCCCCGGACACAGCUGGAGGACGCAGCGCGGCCCCGCGGCAGGAGCUGA
rnacentral:lncRNA from 1 species